rnacentral:rRNA from 1 species
GACGAACGCUGGCGGCGUGCUUAACACAUGCAAGUCGAGCGGUAAGGCCCUUUCGGGGGUACGACGAGCGGCGAACGGGUGAGUAACACGUGGGUGACCUGCCCUUACGCUCUGGGAGUAAGCCUGGGAAACGUAGGGUCUAAUACCGGAUAUGACUCCAUAACGCAUGUUGUGGGGUGGAAAGCCUUGUGCGGCUAGGGAUGGGCCCGCGGCCUAUCAGCUUGUUGGGU